CAAGAUAUGCACAUGUAUGUUAUAUUUUGAAUAAUCAAAAAUUAAACGCUAUUGUUUAUAAAAACAACAAUUGUAAAAAUUAUUUUGAGCUAGGUUCUAGCUUUUAGAAAUUUUUUGGUAUUUAUUUAAUCCUUGGAAACAAUAGAAAUAAUUAUUUUUAUGAUGUAUAAGGGUUUGAUUUAUGUAAUUUUUAGAGAGGGAUAAAAUAUAUUUGCCCAGUCAUUUGGUGUAAACUCACAUGCUAGUAAAAUGUAUUGAAUCUUACUUUAAAAAAGUACAGAAACACAUUUGUGGAGAAACCAAAGGUAAACACAUAAACCAGUAGUUUCCUCUGGUGCACAAACCAAAAUACACCAGAAAGAGUUAUUGCCCUUUGUAACACUCUCUUGUAUUGGAGAUAUGAACAGCCUUCAUUUGUUUUCAGUAUGGCAGGAGGUGGAAAUUGAGUUUUUAUUCAAUUUGUUCUUCAGAUGUUUAUCAAUAUCAGAUGCUCUUUGUUCACUUAAUUCACUACCACGAUCUUUAUCUUCAAUUGUGCUAAAGGAUUCCGGUUUAUUUCAUGGAAUACAAAUCCGUUUGAUCUUUGCCAUAGUCACCGGACUCUAGCAUCCAAUCGUCUACGUAUUCGUAGAAAAAGUAAAUGUUGUGGAAUUUAACGCUUUAUUGCAUCACAUCCGACUAAAAAAAUGACCAGGGAAACAGAAGGCUGACAGACAUAUUCAUAGAAAAUAUGAAAAAGCCCUGCCUGUUGCCGUGUUGGAACUUGUAUUGACCUGUAUGAGCAUCAUACUGUGCAAAUCACCUAAAGAUGGAGUUGACCAAGUUGCUGACUUUGAGGAGAACUUGAAGAGCAGAAGAUGCAUUCCAUGACUCUUAUGUGAUAUAGAAGACAAAGAAGAGCUCUUGAGAAUGGAAAAAAAACUGCGAGUUUUACAGUCAAUGAACACACCUCACGACACAAGUCCAUCCUGAUUCAGUAAACUGUUCUUCUAAGGAAACACCAUGACUUAGUUAAGAUCAAGUUUUGGUGUCAGAAGACUAAUGUAACUAAAACAUUGCAAAAUUAACCUGCAAGUGUCUUAUGUGAGCCUACUGAAUAAGGAUUCAUUACUGAACAGUUGAAGGAAAAUCACUAUUAUAAUGAUUUAAAAAAAAAGAUGAUUGUGUUGUUUGGAUAACAUUGUGAUCCAUGUUUGUUGAAUAAACAACUUUGCAAAAA